CUGCCACCAUAAUUGUGUUCCCAACUGGGACUUCUCCCUUCUCAUCCUUUCCGUGAUGGGGCCAGGGAAACCUUCCAGAGAACUGUCCUCCCCCUCCUCCCCGGAUCUCAGAGAGAAUUCACCUGCAUUUGGUGUCCAGGUGACUCAAGCUCUGAAUGCAGUAGCGUGCACGGGGAGGUGAGGGUGUCACCAGAAGAAAGGCUCCCAGGCAGCCUCCAGGAGCAACCCCAAGCCCGGGCGGGGGGCUCUGAUGCGGCCCAGUGCGAGGUGAGCUGCCCAUGCUGCCUACAUGUGUUCAGAAUGAAGGGCGCCCUCUCUCACACGUGGGGCUCAUUAACCAGGAAUCAAAUUAUUAAGACAAGCUCAGCUGAGCAAAUGGUCAAACAUUAAAAACAUUUAGAAGGCACAAAGAGGUCAACCCCAUUAUCCAUCAAAAGCCAUCGAGGUGGCGGCCCUCACUAAGGGGUACUGCUACCAGCCGGCCCUCGUCUGCCCUCCAAACCCAUGUGCCUCCCCAAUGGAAGGCCAGCAAAGCCACAAGGGAAGAAUUAGGGUGGGAAGCACAAAGUGAACCCCAGGAAGCCAGACAGGUCACGGAGCUCCAUCCCACACACACAGGCCCGGUGACUCAGGGACCCACGUGUCCAGCACACGCGGAGCUCACAGGGACAGCGCCCGGGGGAUGCGAGGAACUUUGCCUCUCCGUCCCUCUCUGAAGGGAUGGAAAGAGGAGAGCGAUUUCUGGGAUGGAAGCCAUCUGCCUCCUCUCAACUCUCGCUGCCCAGCCAGAAAGGGAAGAAAAACAGGAAGAUUGCGGGGCAGACCCUUGAGGAAUCGCCAUGCUGUCUUCGAUUGUGGAUAUCUGAAGGAAGACAAGCCUUCUGCAUCGAUGGGGUCUUUAGGCACCCGUCCUAACCCCACACCCACAGAGAAGAUGCAUCCAACCCCAAUGAGGAUGCGGAGGCUCAGAGAGACUGAGUAACUUGACCAGGGAUCCGGAUCACACAGCUACUAAGUGGCAGACAUAUGCGUGAGGGGACAGAAGGCAAGAGCAACAUAACGAAAAGAAACUCAUCCUGUUUGAGAAGUUACAUGAAUUCAAGUGAAGCAAAUUUAGAGAUUAUUUUCCCCCCUCUCUUCUGAUUUCAACCAAGAAUUUUUAUGAAGACGGUGCUGAUUAAUUCUUCAUAUGUGCAAAGUACCAAAGCAAAGCAAAGUGACUUCAAUUAAAGCAUACAUGGGCCAGGCAUGGUGGCUCACACCUGUAAUCCCAGCAUGUUAGAAGAACAAGAUGGACGGAGCUCCUGAGCUCAGGAGUUUGAGAUCAGCCUGGCCAACAUAGGAAACCCUAUCUUUACUAACAAUACAAAAAUUAGCUGGGUGUGGUGGCAUGAACCUGUAAUCCCAGCUAUGGGGGAGGCUGAGGCAGGAGAAUUGCUUGAACCUGGGAGGCAGAGGUUGCAGUGAACUGAGAUCCCACCAUUGCACUCCAGCCUGGGUGACGGAGUGAGACUCUGUCUGAAGAAGAAAAAAAAAAAAUUAAAGCAUAGAUGGUUUUAGUUGGAUAAACGGCAGGCCUUACCAUCAGGGUCCUUUGUGGUUAAUUGGUUGGUUGAUUUUCUUUAUAAGCUGGGAUGUGGCUUCUGUGAUAAAAACAGCACUGCUGAAGAAGGAAGCUGGGAGACUUCAAUCUGAAUUCUGACUCUUCCGCUAAUUUGGCAGUGACCUUGGACAAGCUGCUCCAGCUUCUUUGGUUCUAGCCACCUAUCCUUCUACUGCCAAAAGGGAGGGGCUCCGACCAGGUUAUCUGAUGAUCCCUUCCAGCUAUGACAACAGCUUAUGUUCCCAAAAGAUGCUGCACAAUGAGGCCUCCCGCCCUUCAGGAGCCAAAACAAAAGACACACUGGACCGUUUCAUCUCCGCCAGGAGCUUAAGGAACAGCAGCAUCCUCACCCACCACUGGAGGCCUCGUCUGACCCCCGUCCCCCAGGAAAAUGCUGUCUGAGCCUGCCCAGAGUGCAAGCAGCCCCCCACUCCCCUCAGAAGCCAGGCACGCACCGCCCCACUGGAGGUGCUCACCCAUCAGCUGGGUUUCAGAGCUCAUUCUUAAGCUCUCUUUUAUGGCUUUUACCCAGAACUGAUUUGAAUAAAUCAGUCUAAUGCUCUCUCUACAAUGGAACCAAUUGUAAAAGAGCUUUAUUUGCUCAGCUUUGAAAGCAGGUUGGAGCUGCCUUCACCCCACUGCAAGACUGAUAGAGAAAAAGGAAGCACACGCGGUGAAUUUGACAAAGGAGAAUUCCUUGAAGGGGUGAGAGGGAGCCAAAGCCCCUCACCCAAGGAUUCCCCAGCAAAGGGAACCCACGCUUGUAGGACCCACACCUGGAGAAGGAGGCCAGAGGUGACCAGAUGGGAUUUAUCUGCACCUGAUGGUAGUACUUCAAGAUGAUAACUGCUAUGCUCAGCAGCAGGCUUGGAGGAGCAAGUCAUGUCUGAAACCUGUUUCCCUGCUUCUUCCGCUCUCAGAACACAGCAAGGGCUACACUCUACCGAGCUUUUCCGAUGUUCCAGGCACUGCGCCAAGUCUCAAGGGCACCUCCAAUUCCACCAUCCCAAACACAAGGGUUUUCUUUCCCUUCCGCAAAUGCCCUCCAUGUUGCGUCUACCCCAGGGCCUUUGCAAGUCCUGUUCCCUCUGCCUCUCUCCAACUCCUACACAUACGCCCAUGUCUGUAAGACGGGCUCCUUCUCCUCCAUCAUAACUCUUCCCAAUUCCACGUCCUCCUAAGGGAAUUUUCCAAACAUUCCAAUAGAAAUUCAGUUCUCACUAUUAUACUCUCUCAAGCCCACCGCUCUUUUGCUCCUGCAUUACUUUACAGCAUAGAGGCAAGAUUGGUAUCUCAUUCAGAGACACAGGUUUGGGAGCCUGAGGCCUAUGGACCCCCUGCUUCUCCUCUUAUUAGCCGAGGACCUUGGACACAUACUUGAUCAUUCUGUACCUUAGUUUAUAAACCUGUAAAAUGGGGAUCAUAAAAGCAUCCACCUCUUGGAGCUGCAGUGAGGGUUAACUGAGCUGACACCCUGAGAAGUGCCCAGAAAUGUGCCUGGCAUGUAGAAAGUCCUCAGUAAAUGUUUGCUAUUAUUUCUGCUGGGACUAUUUGAUUUAGAUAUACUCCCCACCAACCUGUGCACUUCAUGAGAAGACAGCCUGGUCCUUCUGUUCAUCAAGAGAGCCCCAGGGCUGAGUUCAGUGCCUGGCACACAUAGGUACUUAAAAAAAAAGUAUGUGUGGAAUGAAUAAAAAUUUCCUUUGUUUUGUUAUGUUUGCUUCACAUGUGUUUCAAAGAGUCAAAGUGGAAAUGGCCUUUCAUUUGUUGGUUGGUUGGUUUCUAUUACACUUUAAGUUCUGGGGCACAUGUGCAGACCGUGCAGGUUUGUUACACAGGUAUACACGUGCCAUGGUGGUGGGUUGCUGCAUCCAUCGCCCCAUCAUCUACAUUAGGUAUUUCUCCUAAUGUUAUCCAUCCGCAAUCCCCCAAACCCCUGCUAUUCCCCUAGUCUCUACCCCCGAGGCCCUGGUGUGUGAUAUUCCCCUCCCUGUGUGUUCUUCUCACUCUGUCACCCAGGCUGGAGUGCAGUGGUGUGAUCUCGGCUCACUGCAGCCUCCGCCCCCUGGGUUCAAGUGAUUCUCAUGCCUCAGCCUCCUGAAUAGCUGGGAUUACAAGCACG